ACCAUAAUCAGAUAAUAGCAAUAGAAAAUCUAGAAACAUUCAAAAAGUUUAGCACUCUUCUCUCACAUUUGCUAUCAAAUCAAGUGCCUAGCUUCAAUGCCUCUUCUCUUACAUAGGGUUUAACUUGUGAGAUUUUCAUGAGUGUUCUAACAUGGGUUUUUCUAUAAAAUCCAUUUUAGUUUCCAAUGGGUAUGUUCCUCCAAUUACGUCAACCACUAUAGAGAGUAACAAUAACAUAACAAACGAUGCAGAACAUUUGAGAUGAAUUUCCUAAUUUAAAGAGCACCAUUCAAAUUGGC
rnacentral:lncRNA from 1 species